GGAUUUCCAAGAAAGCUGAAACCUGGGCAAAAUAAUUUGAUACAAUACGCAGAAAGCAUAAAGAGAGAAUAACAAGAUAAAUUGUUAAGUUAGAUGCAUUGGAUAUGAAUCUUAAAUGGCAAAGUUAUAUCUUUUGAAUGAACUUAUUUUGUGAUCACUUAAAGUAAACAUUUUUCCUUACUUGAAAAACUUUAAUGUUUUGGCACAUGUUGAAUUUCAUGUAAUACAUCACAAACUAUUGCAUUUCAUAUUAUUUCUAUGUUUUUGCAUAUUUUAAUAAUUUCAUGCUUUUAUUUUGGCAUCAUUAAAUAAAAAGUAUUCAAGCAUUAAAAGCUAACAUGCCAAACAAAAUUAAGAUCAAAUGAAUAGCAAAUCAUUACUAAAAAAUUCAACAAAUGAAAAAAAAAAUAAUAAUAA
rnacentral:misc_RNA from 1 species